rnacentral:lncRNA from 1 species
ACGGGAUCGCGGCAAGGGUGUCGCGUAGCUAGCUCGCGGAGAGUUUCUGUUGCCUAGGUGGUUUACUCCUCCAUUUUAUAUUUUGAGAGAGUGUGAGGCUUUUGUAUCCAUGUAUAGAGACCACCUGUGUACCUACCUAUAGCACUUGUAUUUGGGAUCCCUAUUGUACUUACUUUAUGUUUUAUUUAGUGGAUUUACAGUUUUAUCCUUAUCCCUUGUUGUAGCAUUUAGACAUUUAUUAUGCUCUGAUACUCCUAGAUGUCUCUUAUUAUUGCUUUUAUUAUUGUUGUUUUUAGACGCCUUAUAUGUUGUGGACAUAUGGCGGGUCUGGGCACGCGCCGUGCGGGCUUCCGAGAUUAAUUUGGUAUCAGAGCCUAGGGUUGAGUCUUAGGGGACCUAGUAAACCUUAGGCCGGUUGGACUAUAGGAAAUAGGCUCGUGAGAGACGAGGUCUAUUCGAUUUGUAAGCGAAAGUAUCUAGAUUGGG